rnacentral:rRNA from 1 species
UUGGAGGGCAAGUCUGGUGCCAGCAGCCGCGGUAAUUCCAGCUCCAAUAGCGUAUAUUAAAGUUGUUGCAGUUAAAAAGCUCGUAGUUGAAUUUUAGGCCUGGCCGGGCGGUCCGUCUUUGGCGAGUACUGUCUGUUGUUGGGUCUUCCUUCUGGUGAACCAGUAUGUCCUUUAUUGGGUGUGUUGGGGAGCCAGGACCAUUACCUUGAAAAAAUUAGAGUGUUUAAAGCGGGCUAUUGCUUGAAUAGAUUAGCAUGGAAUAAUAGAAUAGGACGUUGCGGUUCUAUUUUGUUGGUUUCUAGGACCACCGUAAUGAUUAAUAGGGAUAGUUGGGGGCAUUAGUAUUCAAUUGUCAGAGGUGAAAUUCUUGGAUUUAUUGAAGACUAACUAUUGCGAAAGCAUUUGCCAAGGAUGUUUUCAUUAAUCAAGAACGAAAGUUAGGGGAUCGAAGACGAUCAGAUACCGUCGUAGUCUUAACCAUAAACUAUGCCGACUAGGAAUCGGGCGUCGUUAUUUUAAUGACUCGCUCGGCGCCUUACGGGAAAC